rnacentral:other from 1 species
AUAAUCCUGGGAUGUUCGAUACCCUGUUAUUUUGAACCUACAUUUACUUUUAUGGGAUUCUUAUAUUGCCGAUUGGAUGUCAGGCCGUCAUAACGCAGCGGAAGGCAGAAGAGAGGUUGCGGUUACCCACCUGGCUUAGGCUAGGAGUCAAAAUUGCAGGAAACGGCAUUUUGGGUGUACU